GGAGAUUUAGCUCAGUGGUAGAGCGCUUGCCUAGCAAGCACAAGGCCCUGAGUUCGAUCCCCAGCUCCG
rnacentral:tRNA from 1 species